GUAGGAUAGGUGGGAGGCUUUGAAGCGUGGACGCCAGUCUGCGUGGAGCCGACCUUGAAAUACCACCCUUUAAUGUUUGAUGUUCUAACGUGGACCCGUGAUCCGGGUUGCGGACAGUGUCUGGUGGGUAGUUUGACUGGGGCGGUCUCCUCCUAAAGAGUAACGGAGGAGCACGAAGGUUGGCUAAUCCUGGUCGGACAUCAGGAGGUUAGUGCAAUGGCAUAAGCCAGCUUGACUGCGAGCGUGACGGCGCGAGCAGGUGCGAAAGCAGGUCAUAGUGAUCCGGUGGUUCUGAAUGGAAGGGCCAUCGCUCAACGGAUAAAAGGUACUCCGGGGAUAACAGGCUGAUACCGCCCAAGAGUUCAUAUCGACGGCGGUGUUUGGCACCUCGAUGUCGGCUCAUCACAUCCUGGGGCUGAAGUAGGUCCCAAGGGUAUGGCUGUUCGCCAUUUAAAGUGGUACGCGAGCUGGGUUUAGAACGUCGUGAGACAGUUCGGUCCCUAUCUGCCGUGGGCGCUGGAGAACUGAGGGGGGCUGCUCCUAGUACGAGAGGACCGGAGUGGACGCAUCACUGGUGUUCGGGUUGUCAUGCCAAUGGCACUGCCCGGUAGCUAAAUGCGGAAGAGAUAAGUGCUGAAAGCAUCUAAGCACGAAACUUGCCCCGA
rnacentral:rRNA from 1 species